GUGGUGGCCAGAGCCAACCUCCUGCAAGUGUAAUGCUGACAGAAGUAGGAAAAAGAGUAGGAAUCCCUCUUCCCACCUUUCAAUCUCCUUGUAAUAGUUGCUCUUUUCAGAUGGUCUGAGGAAUAUUGUUUGAGAUUCUCAAUCCUUGAGUCACAGAGCAGAGUAUAGAAAAGCUGUCUCUCAGUAAGUCAAAAGCCCACCAGAAAACUUUUUUUCAUCGAUAUAUUUUUAGAUGAUUCCAGUCACACAGAUACACAGGCUAUCAAUUAAAACUCUCCACUUCUGACCAUUUAUAAUAAAUGAACUUCUC
rnacentral:lncRNA from 1 species